CCCUUAGAUGUUCUGGGCCGCACGCGCGCUACACUGACGAUGGCAACGAGUUUUUCCUUCGCCGAAAGGUGUGGGUAAUCUUUUGAAACAUCGUCGUGCUGGGGAUAGAUCAUUGCAAUUUUUGAUCUUGAACGAGGAAUUCCUAGUAAGCGCGAGUCAUCAGCUCGCGUUGAUUACGUCCCUGCCCUUUGUACACACCGCCCCUCGCUACUACCGAUUGAAUGGUUUAGUGAGGACUCCUGAUUGGCGCCGCCGCCCCGGCAACGGAGCAGCGGACUGCCGAAAAGUUGUUCAAACUUGAUCAUUUAGAGGAAGUAAAAGUCGUAACA
rnacentral:rRNA from 1 species